rnacentral:rRNA from 1 species
CACGGGUGAGUAACACGUAUGCAACCUGCCUGCCACAGCCGGAUAAUACGGGAGAAAUUCCGUCUAAUACGGCAUAAUGCAUCGACGGGACAUCCUGUUGGUGCCAAAGGUUAAUUCCGGUGGCGGAUGGGCAUGCGUCGCAUUAGUUAGUUGGCGGUGUAACGGACCACCAAGGCGACGAUGCGUAGGGGUUCUGAGAGGAAGGUCCCCCACACUGGUACUGAGACACGGACCAGACUCCUACGGGAGGCAGCAG